rnacentral:rRNA from 1 species
GCUCGAGUGGCGAACGGGUGAGUAACACGUGAGUAACCUGCCCUUGACUUUGGGAUAACUUCAGGAAACUGGGGCUAAUACCGGAUAGGAGCUCCUGCUGCAUGGUGGGGGUUGGAAAGUUUCGGCGGUUGGGGAUGGACUCGCGGCUUAUCAGCUUGUUGGUGGGGUAGUGGCUUACCAAGGCUUUGACGGGUAGCCGGCCUGAGAGGGUGACCGGCCACAUUGGGACUGAGAUGCGGCCCAG